rnacentral:rRNA from 1 species
UACGUAGGGUGCAAGCGUUAAUCGGAAUUACUGGGCGUAAAGCGUGCGCAGGCGGCUUUGCAAGUCAGAUGUGAAAUCCCCGGGCUCAACCUGGGAACUGCAUUUGUGACUGCAAGGCUGGAGUACGGUAGAGGGGGAUGGAAUUCCGCGUGUAGCAGUGAAAUGCGUAGAUAUGCGGAGGAACACCGAUGGCGAAGGCAAUCCCCUGGACCUGUACUGACGCUCAUGCACGAAAGCGUGGGGAGCAAACAGG